AGCGAACGCUGGCGGCAGGCCUAACACACGCAAGUCGAGCGGCCCUUCGGGGCAGCGGCGGACGGGUGAGUAACGCGUGGGAACGUGCCCUUUGGUACGGAACAACUGAGGGAAACUUCAGCUAAUACCGUAUGUGCCCUACGGGGGAAAGAUUUAUCGCCAUUGGAGCGGCCCGCGUUAGAUCAGCUAGUUGGUAGGGUAAUGGCCUACCAAGGCGACGAUCUAUAGCUGGUCUGGGAGGAUGAUCAGCCACACUGGGACUGAGACACGGCCCAGACUCCUACGGGAGGCAGCAGUGGGGAAUCUUGCGCAAUGGGCGAAAGCCUGACGCAGCCAUGCCGCGUGAAUGAUGAAGGUCUUAGGAUUGUAAAAUUCUUUCACCGGGGACGAUAAUGACGGUACCCGGAGAAGAAGCCCCGGCUAACUUCGUGCCAGCCGCCGCGGUAAAAC
rnacentral:rRNA from 1 species